rnacentral:rRNA from 1 species
UACGGGGGAUGCGAGCGUUAUCCGGAUUUAUUGGGUUUAAAGGGAGCGCAGACGGGGGAUUAAGUCAGUUGUGAAAGUUUGCGGCUCAACCGUAAAAUUGCAGUUGAUACUGGUCCUCUUGAGUGCAGUUGAGGCAGGCGGAAUUCGUGGUGUAGCGGUGAAAUGCUUAGAUAUCACGAAGAACCCCGAUUGCGAAGGCAGCUUGCUAAACUGUAACUGACGUUCAUGCUCGAAAGUGUGGGUAUCAAACAGG